GAAUAGGCUCCAUUAGGAGCCACUAAAAUCAAGUCUUUUAUUGAACU
rfam:Mesocricetus auratus contig000368, whole genome shotgun sequence.